rnacentral:rRNA from 1 species
UUGAACGCUGGCGGCAUGCCUUACCCCUGCCAGUCGAACGGCAGCACGGGUGCUUGCACCUGGUGGCGAGUGGCGAACGGGUGAGUAAUACAUCGGAACAUGUCCUGUAGUGGGGGAUAGCCCGGCGAAAGCCGGAUUAAUACCGCAUACGAUCUACGGAUGAAAGCGGGGGACCUUCGGGCCUCGCGCUAUAGGGUUGGCCGAUGGCUGAUUAGCUAGUUGGUGGGGUAAAGGCCUACCAAGGCGACGAUCAGUAGCUGGUCUGAGAGGACGACCAGCCACACUGGGACUGAGACACGGCCCAGACUCCUACGGGAGGCAGCAGUGGGGAAUUUUGGACAAUGGGCGAAAGCCUGAUCCAGCAAUGCCGCGUGUGUGAAGAAGGCCUUCGGGUUGUAAAGCACUUUUGUCCGGAAAGAAAUCCUUGGCCCUAAUACGGUCGGGGGAUGACGGUACCGGAAGAAUAAGCACCGGCUAACUACGUG